GCCUUCGUAGUGUAGUGGUCAGCACGCUCGGCACGUAUUCGAGAGGUCCGAGGUUCGAGUCCUGGCGAGGACA
rnacentral:tRNA from 1 species